AAUUGAAAAUUCACAAUUUUAGAAAAAGCGAUAAAAAUAAACUUGAUUAUAUCUAAUAUUCAUUCUUACCUAGAGUUAAAAGGCAGUUGUACAAACGACCUCGAUCGUCAUAUUCAAAAAUGUUGCGAACGAAUGUAUCAAGUUCCUCGGUCUGUAGAGGAUGGAAUGCACUCUGCAAAAAUGAAAAGAACUCAUCAAUAUCCGGUUUUUUUUGACACGAUUUCACCAUUACUCUGUGAGUUUUGAGUCAUAUAUAUUAAGUAGAUCAAUGUUGUCUUCAGUUAUUAAGAAACAAAUAGCGAGGGUAUUGAAAGGAAAUAUAUACCAAAAAAACAAAUAUUUUAAUGAAUUCAGUUAAUCAUGUGUCAAUAAAUUGUGAAUUUAAUCUCUAUAUUAUUAACAAAUUGAUUCAAGUGCUCCGUCGACUGAUUCACUGUCUGCAAUACUGUUUGGUAGUUUGCAAGUUUCAACGGUAGUCGAUUACUAGAACGUAAACAUAUACUUUACACAAUCACUACAUGUUAAAACACUUGAAAACAAAAAUUCCAAUAAGCUUUAAUUUCUAUUAAAAUUUACAUCUCUAUUGUUUUGACACCAAAAGCGCUAAGGUGAAAGUAUACGAUAAAAUGUAAGUACGGUACAAAAAAUACAAAGCAAUUCCUCCCGGCACUUUGAGAAGGAAUUCAUCCUGACGAGAGUCAGAACAAAAAAAGAGAGAGGAUCGUGCUUUAUUACCAGACGUUCUGAUAAUCAUUACUGAGACAUAUCAGUGA